UACGAAGGGGGCUAGCGUUGCUCGGAAUUACUGGGCGUAAAGGGCGCGUAGGCGGUUUGUACAGUCAGGUGUGAAAUUCCCGGGCUCAACCUGGGGGCUGCACUUGAUACGUAUGGACUGGAGUGGGGAAGAGGGUCGUGGAAUUCCCAGUGUAGAGGUGAAAUUCGUAGAUAUUGGGAAGAACACCGGUGGCGAAGGCGGCGACCUGGUCCUUGACUGACGCUGAGGCGCGAAAGCGUGGGGAGCAAACAGG
rnacentral:rRNA from 1 species